UCAAAGUUGCUAACUCAAAGGAUU
rnacentral:siRNA from 1 species